ensembl:lncRNA novel transcript
GGGGUUCAGUCUGCCGCUGCAAAUACCAAAAGCUGUCCUCAUUGAGUCAUCCCUCCCAGAGCAGGAAGAGCAGAGAUAAAACAGCAUGUAAGCAUCUCUGCAGUUGCUGUCCCCAGAGCCCACUUCCUGGAUAUUGCCAGCUGCCUGGACCAACCUUUCCGAAAGAUCAGCCAGGUCACAGUGAGGGUCAAAGGUGAGCCACGGGCCUCAGCAGCUGCUGAGUGGAUGGUGCGUGGGACUCAGGAAGUGACGUUCUCUCCCCGCCCAGCCCCCUUCCUCAGUCUAUUGCUCCGAAUCCUGGACCACACACUGCGUGCUGAGGCUCCAUCGCUGUGCUGGGUGAGGGGUGGAGGACUGUCCAGCUGACAGCCACCCAGGAGGCCUGCCCAGGAGACCCAGCCCAGCCUCUCCUUGGAACCUGAAGAACUCCAGGCAGCUGAUGGGACACUGGGGCCCAGGUACCAGCGAAGAGGGCAAGAACACAGCACUACUUCCUUGGAUACUGUUUCCCUCCUCAGAGGGGUUUUCUGAGCUGCCCUGGGUCCUGUGAGGAAGAUCUCCCCUUCCUGUAAAGACACCAGUCCUACUGGAUCAGGGCCCACCCGUGUGACUUCACUUUUACUUGAGUACCUCUCACAGACCCUAACUCCAAAUCAGGUCACUUGCUGAGGUACUGCAUGUGAAGACUUUGACAUUUGAAUUUUGAGGGGGCCACCGUUUAACCUGAACCACCAAGGACAGAGCCAAAGACCCUGGGUGACAGGCCCAGAACAGGACCUGGUGGAGGCUCUUCUUUAGGGGAGAGAGGGAAAUGGGAGCCACCACUGGCAGAGCCUGAAGGCAGGGCAGCCAGAAAGAAGCUGUGGGAGUCCCCACCAUGGAAGACCCUGCCGAGCAUCCUGUGUCUCCUGAAGCAGACCCUGACAUGAGGACUGGGGGCACGUGUUUAUUAAGGGCGAUCCCCGGAAGGAGGAGAUAACCAGGCAGAAGUCCUAGCAGAGUAUGCCCACGCUGGUUAGUGCUGCUGCAAAGAUGAGCCGAAGACCAUGAGAGACCUCCAGGUGGUCCUUCUGGGGAGAAGAAAUGGGUUUUGGCCCCAAAUCCUUCUGCUGCAUUUUUCCCCUAUCCCUGGGAAGCCAUGAGACCUCAAACCUGUGUUCCCAAGGAGGCGAGCUGCUGUUCCCAGGUGAUGAUAUGAUGUGCUUGGGGAAAGUAAGUGGCUGCCAGACAUGGCUGAGAGCUGUUGUCACUGCCGUCAAGUGCAUGUCUCCAAGCCAUAUCACACGGCGUCCCUCGAUGUGAGGCCACAUGGCAAGUGGGCCGUGGAUCUCCCUCUGCCCUUUGCAAGCACGUAAGACAGCAGAUUUUGCAGAUACCUUGUGGCGCAGGGGAAUUUCCUUUGGCCAGGUCUGAAGAAAUAAAGCAGCAGGCACCGAGAACAAAGCCAAGGCUUUCAAAAGACAAGGAGCCAAAAAACUUACUCAAAAUAAAAGUAGUUUUAAAAUG